ACAAUGAAGAGUUUGAUCCUGGCUCAGGAUGAACGCUAGCUACAGGCUUAACACAUGCAAGUCGAGGGGCAGCAUUUCAGUUUGCUUGCAAACUGGAGAUGGCGACCGGCGCACGGGUGAGUAACACGUAUCCAACCUGCCGAUAACUCGGGGAUAGCCUUUCGAAAGAAAGAUUAAUACCCGAUGGUAUAAUCAGACCGCAUGGUCUUGUUAUUAAAGAAUUUCGGUUAUCGAUGGGGAUGCGUUCCAUUAGGCAGUUGGUGAGGUAACGGCUCACCAAACCUUCGAUGGAUAGGGGUUCUGAGAGGAAGGUCCCCCACAUUGGAACUGAGACACGGUCCAAACUCCUACGGGAGGCAGCAGUGAGGAAUAUUGGUCAAUGGGCGCAGGCCUGAACCAGCCAAGUAGCGUGAAGGAUGACUGCCCUAUGGGUUGUAAACUUCUUUUAUAUGGGAAUAAAGUUUUCCACGUGUGGAAUUUUGUAUGUACCAUAUGAAUAAGGAUCGGCUAACUCCGUGCCAGCAGCCGCGGUAAUACGGAGGAUCCGAGCGUUAUCCGGAUUUAUUGGGUUUAAAGGGAGCGUAGGUGGACAGUUAAGUCAGUUGUGAAAGUUUGCGGCUCAACCGUAAAAUUGCAGUUGAUACUGGCUGUCUUGAGUACAGUAGAGGUGGGCGGAAUUCGUGGUGUAGCGGUGAAAUGCUUAGAUAUCACGAAGAACUCCGAUUGCGAAGGCAGCUCACUGGACUGCAACUGACACUGAUGCUCGAAAGUGUGGGUAUCAAACAGGAUUAGAUACCCUGGUAGUCCACACAGUAAACGAUGAAUACUCGCUGUUUGCGAUAUACAGUAAGCGGCCAAGCGAAAGCAUUAAGUAUUCCACCUGGGGAGUACGCCGGCAACGGGUGAAACUCAAAGGAAUUGACGGGGGCCCGUACAAGCGGAGGAACAUGUGGUUUAAUUCGAUGAUACGCGAGGAACCUUACCCGGGCUUAAAUUGCAUUUGAAUAUAUUGGAAACAGUAUAGCCGUAAGGCAAAUGUGAAGGUGCUGCAUGGUUGUCGUCAGCUCGUGCCGUGAGGUGUCGGCUUAAGUGCCAUAACGAGCGCAACCCUUAUCUUUAGUUACUAACAGGUCAUGCUGAGGACUCUAGAGAGACUGCCGUCGUAAGAUGUGAGGAAGGUGGGGAUGACGUCAAAUCAGCACGGCCCUUACGUCCGGGGCUACACACGUGUUACAAUGGGGGGUACAGAAGGCAGCUACCUGGUGACAGGAUGCUAAUCCCAAAAGCCUCUCUCAGUUCGGAUCGAAGUCUGCAACCCGACUUCGUCAAGCUGGAUUCGCUAGUAAUCGCGCAUCAGCCAUGGCGCGGUGAAUACGUUCCCGGGCCUUGUACACACCGCCCGUCAAGCCAUGAAAGCCGGGGGUACCUGAAGUACGUAACCGCAAGGAGCGUCCUAGGGUAAAACUGGUAAUUGGGGCUAAGUCGUAACAAGGUAGCCGUACCGGAAGGUGCGGCUGGAACACCUCCUUU
rfam:Bacteroides thetaiotaomicron VPI-5482, complete genome.